UACGUAGGGUCCGAGCGUUGUCCGGAGUUACUGGGCGUAAAGCGCGCGCAGGCGGCGGUGCUGGCCCGGCGUGAAAGCCCCCGGCUCAACCGGGGAGGGUCGUCGGGGACCGCACCGCUUGAGGGCGGUAGGGGCUGGUGGAAUGCCUGGUGUAGUGGUGAAAUGCGUAGAGAUCAGGCGGAACACCCGUGGCGAAGGCGGCCAGCUGGGCCGUCCCUGACGCUGAGACGCGAAAGCGUGGGGAGCGAACAGG
rnacentral:rRNA from 1 species